UGGCGGCGUGCCUAAUACAUGCAAGUCGAUCGCUGGAUUCCAGCUUGCUGGAAUGAAGGAGAGGCGAACGGGUGAGUAAUACAUAAGCAACCUGCCCACGAAGACUGGGAUAAGUUCCUGGAAACGGGGACUAAUACCGGAUAGGUAGUGUGAUCGCAUGAUCGCACUAUUAAAGGUUCAAGACACUGGUGGAUGGGCUUAUGGCGCAUUAGCUGGUUGGUGAGGUAACGGCCCACCAAGGCGAUGAUGCGUAGCCGGCCUGAGAGGGUGAACGGCCACAUUGGGACUGAGACACGGCCCAGACUCCUACGGGAGGCAGCAGUAGGGAAUUUUCGGCAAUGGGCGCAAGCCUGACCGAGCAACGCCGCGUGAAGUGAAGACGGCCUUCGGGUUGUAAAGCUCUGUUGUAAGGGAAGAAUUGGCAUGAGAGAAUCGUGCAGUGACGGUACCUUACCAGAAAGCCACGGCUAACUACGUGCCAGCCGCCGC
rnacentral:rRNA from 1 species